rnacentral:rRNA from 1 species
UACGUAGGGGGCUAGCGUUGUCCGGAAUCAUUGGGCGUAAAGCGCGUGUAGGCGGCCCGGUAAGUCCGCUGUGAAAGUCGGGGGCUCAACCCUCGGAUGCCGGUGGAUACUGUCGGGCUAGAGUGCGGAAGAGGCGAGUGGAAUUCCUGGUGUAGCGGUGAAAUGCGCAGAUAUCAGGAGGAACACCAAUUGCGAAGGCAGCUCGCUGGGACGUUACUGACGCUGGAGACGCGAAAGCGUGGGGAGCAAACAGG